UUUCUGCCAAUUUACAGCAAUAUUUUACAGGAAUCAUCUGUGUUUACUAAAAUACAACAGAUAACUGUAAAGAGAAGUGCAUUUUGGGACAUGCAAACUAUGUGUCUGAUUAUACAGAAAUGAACUGUAAUUUGCAAAGCACUAUUGGAAAAGAACAUGGAAAAUGGCUGGGGUUACAGGCUGCUCCUGUACUUUUUAAAUUGAGAAGACCGUUGGGUUUUUGAUUCUGGAUACCGUUACGUUAUCUCAGACACACGGAUUUCUUCUGAGAAGUACGUGGUUGAUUGCUUGAAGUAGCUGGCUCAACGCACCGGGCGAGUUGACCUAUCACAUUCGUGUGUAUGACAUGCAGUAUCGUUACUUCUCCAAAAGCAACAGGAAAACGUAUUGUGGCCACUUCACUUGAACAGAUAGUUAAGACAGAGGAUGCAUCACACGGGAGAGCACCAUCCACUACUACGGUCCAAAGCAGCACACUGGCCAGCCAGCCGGACAGCUACAACAACCUAUGAGAUGACAUAAUGCAUGACAGGACACUGAAUGGGAUUCAUAUUGUACUGUAUACAUGAAGCUCUUGAAGACCCAACUCUUCCAAAGAGCAAGUGGAUGGUUUCCACUGAAGGACAAAUCAUAUGUGAAGGGUCCUCAUUCUUCCCUGGGCUGGCUGUUCUGUUGGAUGUGUUAUGUUUCAACCUGGAAUACCAGGAUGAACUUGCAUCAACCCUUGUGUUUAUUCAAAGGUGAAUGAAUAUUGUUGA